rnacentral:rRNA from 1 species
UACGUAGGGGGCAAGCGUUAUCCGGAAUUAUUGGGCGUAAAGGGCUCGUAGGCGGCCGAGCAAGUCGAGUGUGAAAGCCCCGAGCUUAACUUGGGAACUGCGCUCGAAACUACUUGGCUAGAGUGUGGCAGAGGGAGGUGGAAUUCCACGUGUAGCGGUGAAAUGCGUAGAGAUGUGGAGGAACACCGAUGGCGAAGGCAGCCUCCUGGGCCAACACUGACGCUCAUGCACGAAAGCGUGGGGAGCAAACAGG